rnacentral:rRNA from 1 species
UACGUAGGCAGCGAGCGUUGUUCGGAUUUACUGGGCGUAAAGAGUGCGUAGGCGGUUUUCUAAGUUUGGUGUGAAAUCUCCCGGCUUAACUGGGAGGGUGCGCCGAAAACUGGAAGGCUUGAGUAUGGGAGAGGUAAGCGGAAUUCCUGGUGUAGCGGUGAAAUGCGUAGAUAUCAGGAGGAACACCUGCGGUGUAGACGGCUUACUGGACCAUAACUGACGCUGAGGCACGAAAGCGUGGGGAGCAAACAGG